rnacentral:tRNA from 1 species
AUUCAGGUAAUUUAAUUUAAAAUUUCGAUUUGUGGAUUCGAAUAUGCAGUCUAUUUGUCUUGGAUA